UUUCCGUAGGUGAACCUGCGGAAGGAUCAUUGACGAAGGCGAGAAUUGUAAAAAGAUUCUCGUUUGAUCAAUCACAUUCCAAAAGUGCGAGUAUAGUAAAAUGGGGAGACCCAUUUACGAUGUAUGUAUUAAUAAAACAAAACUUUCAACAACGGAUCUCUUGGCUCUUGCAUCGAUGAAGAACGCAGCGAAUUGCGACAAGUAGUGUGAAUUGCAGAAUUCCGUGAAUCAUCGAGUCUUUGAACGCAUAUUGCACCUUUUGGUAUUCCGAAAGGUAUGCCUGUUUGAGGGUCAUUGAAUCAAUCGGUACGCGCAUACUUUUUGUGUAUCGGAAUGUUGAGCUUUUCGUAAUAUUUAUUAUGAUUGCUAGAAAUUCGAAGCACUGGUCUCGGCCUAAUAUAGAGACGCGUUUACGGUGGCUUGCUACCAAUUUUUCGCAACUUUAGGUCGAAUUCCAAGCUGGUUUGGGCAUUUUCUCGAGGAAAGAAAAGGCGCAUACAAUUUAAUUUUUAUCAUGACCUCAAAUCAAGCAAGAAUACCCGCUGAACUUAA
rnacentral:rRNA from 1 species